rnacentral:rRNA from 1 species
UACGGAGGGGGCUAGCGUUGUUCGGAAUUACUGGGCGUAAAGCGCACGUAGGCGGCUUUGUAAGUUAGAGGUGAAAGCCCGGGGCUCAACUCCGGAAUUGCCUUUAAGACUGCAUCGCUUGAAUUGUGGAGAGGUAAGUGAAAUUCCGAGUGUAGAGGUGAAAUUCGUAGAUAUUCGGAAGAACACCAGUGGCGAAGGCGACUUACUGGACACAUAUUGACGCUGAGGUGCGAAAGCGUGGGGAGCGAACGG